UAGGGAAUCUUCCGCAAUGGGCGAAAGCCUGACGGAGCAACGCCGCGUGAGUGAUGAAGGUCUUCGGAUCGUAAAACUCUGUUAUUGGGGAAGAACAAAUGUGUAAGUAACUAUGCACGUCUUGACGGUACCUAAUCAGAAAGCCACGGCUAACUACGUGCCAGCAGCCGCGGUAAUACGUAGGUGGCAAGCGUUAUCCGGAAUUAUUGGGCGUAAAGCGCGCGUAGGCGGUUUUUUAAGUCUGAUGUGAAAGCCCACGGCUCAACCGUGGAGGGUCAUUGGAAACUGGAAAACUUGAGUGCAGAAGAGGAAAGUGGAAUUCCAUGUGUAGCGGUGAAAUGCGCAGAGAUAUGGAGGAACACCAGUGGCGAAGGCGACUUUCUGGUCUGUAACUGACGCUGAUGUGCGAAAGCGUGGGGAUCAAACAGG
rnacentral:rRNA from 1 species